UAGAUCCAAGGUUUUUAUACUGAUUUGAACUCUCGAGUUGCGAUUUCAGUGGAAGUUAAGGACAAAGUUUGACUUUCGUCAAUAUUUGGAGUUUGAAUGCUCGAAUUGAAAUUCCGUUGAUUUCGUUGGUUUUAGGAGAUGAUUUUAGGCGUGGUAGAGUUUCAAUUUAUUUUUCAAGGGUUCCGAGGGUGUUUUGGUCUUUUUGGUGAAAAGUUAGUUAGUAGUUGCUUUAAUGGGUGUCGGGUCAAGGAGAUCUCGGACUUGUAUUUCGAUGGUUCUAAUGAGUCCAAAACAUGGAACUUAGUGGGGUUACAUAUAUGGUUUGUGUGCACGGGAUUCCGAACGAAUCUCGUGGGUGCAUUCGGAGACUUCAUUUCUGUUAUUGUUGUUGUCACUGAUGGUUCUGGUGCCCUUAUUCGCGUUUGCUGAGCCUGCGUGCGCGAAGGGUCGUGCUGCCUAGACUUCGCGUUCGUGGGACCUUGGCUUCGUGCGCCGAAGGUUGGUUGUCUAGCCUUCAUGGUCGCGAGUCCUUGGCUCCGUUCGCCAAGGCUUGGGGGUUUGGCCUUCCGAUUGCAGAGCCUUGGUCGUGUUCACGAAGAGCAAUUCCUGGCAAGACCUUUUCAUCCUCCAAAAUUGUGAUUUCUUUCCUUUUCACCAUUGUUGACCUUGAGAACUCAUCUUGGGCGAUUUUUAAAGAGAAAUUUCAAGACCAAAGUGUUGUAUUGUGUUGAUUCGGAGGCUCGGCGUAAAGGAAAAGCUCAAGUGCCAAGUUGGAUUCUUCACUUUAAGAAGGAAAUUACACCAUUUCAUCUCCUGUUGUGUAUUUUGACCAUGAGUGGCCUUUGGAUGUUUAUUAUGAAUCUUCAUUGAUGGUAUGUUUUUGACUGAUUUGGUUAGCUUAUUGAGGUUAAAUGUGUCAUCUUCUUCUAUGUAUUUGAUCAUGCCUAUUUGCAUUAAUGCUGAAACUUUGUUAUGAGAUGACAUCAUGAAAAAUUGAUUAAUGAUUGAUAUUGCCCA